rnacentral:rRNA from 1 species
UACGAAAGGUGCAAGCGUUACUCGGAAUCACUGGGCGUAAAGCGCACGUAGGCGGACUCGCAGGUCAAUUGUGAAAUACCUGGGCUCAACCCGGGAACUGCAGUUGAAACCGCUUGUCUUGAAUACCUGAGAGGGUGGGGGAAUACCUGGUGGAGAAGUGAAAUUCGUAGAGAUCAGGUGGAACACCGGAGGCGAAGGCGCCUGCCUGGCAGUGUAUUGACGCUGAGGUGCGAAAGUGCGGGGAGCAACAG